rnacentral:lncRNA from 10 species
GAAAGGGGCUGGGUACCUCUUCUGGUUGCUGAGUGGAGUGCACCAGCAGCCCCACCCCAGAGAAGCCCUGUUGGAAGCGCUGUGGGAAUCCCCCAAGGCACUAUUCAUCUUCAAAAUGGAUUCAUUCAUUUAAUCAUCACCACAACUUUAUGAGGGAAGUAUGAUUAUUUCCUCAUUUUUAAACAAUAAACUCAGGCAAAGAGAAGUUAAGUAACUUCCCAAGGUCACAUAGAGAUUAAGUGGUGGAGCUGUGAGAUCCAGUCAGUGUGCAGAGUCUGAGCUGUUAUCCCCACCGUACUGCCUCUCAAAUGUGUUUAAUGCUAUGUGUCUAGGUUUAUGUUUCUAUACAUGCAACUGUGUGCAUAGUAGAUAUGCACAGAUACUACCUGGCAGUGCACGUGUUAUCUGUUAGUGCAUGGAUGUCUGUGUGGAUGGCCGUGUGUGUCCGUGUACACACAGUAUGUUUUUGGCUGCUUAUAUAUACAUAGCUUUGUGUGUGUGUGCGUUUCUAGUCACUGUCUUCUCAUUCUCCUGCCAAAUCCUGCUCCUACCCGCACCCAGACAUCACCUAGCAGUGCUGGGCCCUUACCGCAGGGAAGAAGUAGACCUCCUCCCCAUCCUGUCUCUGGGGUAUCCCAAUCCUUUUAGCCAGGCGAUCCACUCAGCCUCCCCUGCCCAUGCUGCAUCCUCAGCCCCUUUCCCCAAGGCUAGUCAGCUAUCCCUCUGCCUAGGGGAAAGACUAAAGGAAUUGGGAGACCUGGCCUAAGAGAGGUGACAGGGAGACACACUUUGCAUUCUCUCUUGGAAGGCACUGGCAGUGAGAAGCAAGGUAGGGUAGUGGUAGGGAGUCACCUGAUGAAGGGAUGGGUAAAGAUGGGGCCUGUGUCUGGCUGUGGUACCCAGGCUGGCCUGGGCUCUGCACCCUGUAGAUCAUGCAGCACCUUUCUACCCAAGAUAAGUGAUGCUCACUGCUG